UACAGAGGGGGCAAGCGUUGUUCGGAAUUACUGGGCGUAAAGGGCGCGUAGGCGGCCUUCUAAGUCGAACGUGAAAUCCCCGGGCUCAACCCGGGAACUGCGUCCGAUACUGGAAGGCUUGAAUCCGGGAGAGGGAUGCGGAAUUCCAGGUGUAGCGGUGAAAUGCGUAGAUAUCUGGAGGAACACCGGUGGCGAAGGCAAUCCCCUGGACCUGUACUGACGCUCAUGCACGAAAGCGUGGGGAGCAAACAGG
rnacentral:rRNA from 1 species